rnacentral:rRNA from 1 species
CAGUCGCCGCGGGAAUACGUAGGUGGCAAGCGUUGUCCGGAAUUAUUGGGCGUAAAGGGCUCGCAGGCGGUUUCUUAAGUCUGAUGUGAAAGCCCCCGGCUCAACCGGGGAGGGUCAUUGGAAACUGGGAAACUUGAGUGCAGAAGAGGAGAGUGGAAUUCCACGUGUAGCGGUGAAAUGCGUAGAGAUGUGGAGGAACACCAGUGGCGAAGGCGACUCUCUGGUCUGUAACUGACGCUGAGGCGCGAAAGCGUGGGGAGCAAACAGGAUUAGAUACCCCCGUAGUCCCUGUCUCUUAUAC